UAUUCAUGAGGUUUUUUUUUUCUUCUUUUGAUUUCUUUUCUUCCCUUUGAUUGCUGCUUUUCAGCGUCGACUGCUUGUGGAAUGGAUCGGUGCAGGACAGAGAAAUUAACUGGGCAUUGAUCUUCUGGGUGGACAGGAAGGCUCCAGUCUGGGCCAUUCAAGUAAUUGUGGCCAUUAUCAGCUUCCUGGAGACAAUGUUACUCAUGUAUCUGAGCUACAAGGUGAGAAUAAGUUA